rnacentral:rRNA from 1 species
GAUGAACGCUGGCGGCGCGCCUAACACAUGCAAGUCGAACGAUUAAAGCACCUUCGGGUGUGUAUAAAGUGGCGAACGGCUGAGUAACACGUGGGCAACCUGCCCCUUUCAUUGGGAUAGCCACGGGAAACCGUGGAUAAUACCGAAUACUUCGAGACUUCCGCAUGGAAGACUCGAGAAAGCUCCGGCGGAGAGGGAUGGGCCCGCGGCCUGUUAGCUUGUUGGUGGGGUAACGGCCUACCAAGGCAAUGAUGGGUAGCUGGGUUGAGAGACCGACCAGCCAGAUUGGGACCGAGACACGGCCCAGACUCCUACGGGAGGCAGCAGUGGGGAAUCUUGCACAAUGGGCGAAAGCCUGAUGCAGCGACGCCGCGUGCGGGAUGAAGGCCUUCGGGUUGUAAACCGCUUUCAGCAGGGACGAGGCGAAAGUGACGGUACCUGCAGAAGAAGCCCCGGCUAACUACGUG